AUUGAACGCUGGCGGCAUGCCUUACACAUGCAAGUCGAACGGUAACAGGUCUUCGGAUGCUGACGAGUGGCGAACGGGUGAGUAAUACAUCGGAACGUGCCUAGUAGUGGGGGAUAACUACUCGAAAGAGUGGCUAAUCCCGCAGGAGAUCUACGGAUGAAAGCAGGGGAUCGCAAGACCUUGUGCUACUAGAGCGGCCGAUGGCAGAUUAGGUAGUUGGUGGGAUAAAAGCUUACCAAGCCGACGAUCUGUAGCUGGUCUGAGAGGACGAUCAGGCACACUGGGACGGAGACACGGCCGAGACUCCUACGGGAGGCAGCAGUGGGGAAUUUUGGACAAUGGGCGAACGCCUGAUCCAGCAAUGCCGCGUGCAGGAUGAAGGCGUUCGGGUUGUAAACCGCUUUUGUACGGAACGAAAAGCCCCGGGUUAAUACCCUGGGGUCAUGACGGUACCGUAAGAAUAAGCACCGGCUAACUACGUGCCAGCCGCCGCGGUAA
rnacentral:rRNA from 1 species